AGCAUCCAUGCAGAAUAAUGAGGGAGGUAGAAUCUAGGCAGAGGUGUAAAAAUUGCCCUGCCUAAAUAAUACCCCCCUGUAUUAUAUAGGUGUUUAAGUCAAUAGAAUCAAAAGUGUUAUGAGACAUAAAGUGCCUCUUGUGUCAAUGCAUUUUACCUAUUUGUAUGACUUUUUGAGCAUCCAUGCAGAAUAAUGAGGGAGGUAGAAUCUAGGCAGAGGUGUAUACAAUAGUGCUGCCUAGAUAAUACCCCCCUGAAUAAUAUAGGUGUUUAAGUCAAUGGAAUCAAUAGUGUUAUGAGACAUAGAGUGCCUCUUGUGUCAAUGCAUUUUACCUAUUUGUAUGACUUUUUGAGCAUCCAUGCAGAAUAAUGAGGGAGGUAGAAUCUAGGCAGAGGUGUAUACAAUAGUGCUGCCUAGAUAAUACCCCCCUGAAUAAUAUAGGUGUUUAAGUCAAUGGAAUCAAUAGUGUUAUGAGACA